GAUGAACGCUGGCGGCGUGCCUAAUACAUGCAAGUCGAGCGAACAGAUGAGGAGCUUGCUCCUCUGACGUUAGCGGCGGACGGGUGAGUAACACGUGGAUAACCUACCUAUAAGACUGGGAUAACUUCGGGAAACCGGAGCUAAUACCGGAUAAUAUAUUGAACCGCAUGGUUCAAUAGUGAAAGACGGUUUUGCUGUCACUUAUAGAUGGAUCCGCGCCGCAUUAGCUAGUUGGUAAGGUAACGGCUUACCAAGGCAACGAUGCGUAGCCGACCUGAGAGGGUGAUCGCCCACACUGAAACUGAGAAACGGCCCAGACUCUUACGGGAGGCAGCAGUAGGGAAUCUUCCGCAAUGGGCGAAAGCCUGACGGAGCAACGCCGCGUGAGUGAUGAAGCUCUUCGGAUCGUAAAACGCUGUUAUUAGGGAAGAACAAAUGUGUAAGUAACUAUGCACGUCUUGACGGUACCGAAGCAGAAAGCCACGGCUAAUUACUU
rnacentral:rRNA from 1 species